UUUAAAUUGAGAGUUUGAUCCUGGCUCAGGACGAACGCUGGCGGCGUGCCUAACACAUGCAAGUCGAGCGAUGAAACCCUUCGGGGUGGAUUAGCGGCGGACGGGUGAGUAACACGUGGGUAACCUGCCUCAAAGAGGGGAAUAGCCUCCCGAAAGGGAGAUUAAUACCGCAUAAUAUGUUUUGGUCGCAUGAUCGAAACAUCAAAGGAUUUUUCUUUUAGAAGAUUCCACUUUGAGAUGGACCCGCGGCGCAUUAGCUAGUUGGUGAGGUAACGGCCCACCAAGGCAACGAUGCGUAGCCGACCUGAGAGGGUGAUCGGCCACAUUGGAACUGAGACACGGUCCAGACUCCUACGGGAGGCAGCAGUGGGGAAUAUUGCGCAAUGGGGGAAACCCUGACGCAGCAACGCCGCGUGAAUGAUGAAGGCCUUCGGGUUGUAAAGUUCUGUCUUCUGGGACGAUAAUGACGGUAC
rnacentral:rRNA from 1 species